GACGAACGCUGGCGGCGUGCUUAACACAUGCAAGUCGAACGGAAAGGCCCUGCUUUUGUGGGGUGCUCGAGUGGCGAACGGGUGAGUAACACGUGAGUAACCUGCCCUUGACUUUGGGAUAACUUCAGGAAACUGGGGCUAAUACCGGAUAGGAGCUCCUGCUGCAUGGUGGGGGUUGGAAAGUUUCGGCGGUUGGGGAUGGACUCGCGGCUUAUCAGCUUGUUGGUGGGGUAGUGGCUUACCAAGGCUUUGACGGGUAGCCGGCCUGAGAGGGUGACCGGCCCCAUGGGGCCGGGGAUACGGCCCAGCCCCCUCCGGGGGGCAACGGGGGGGAAUUUUGCACAAGGGGCGGAAGCCUGAUGCAGCAACGCCGCGUGGGGGAUGCCGGCCUUGGGGUUGUAACCCGCUUUCGCCUGUGACGAAGCGUGGGUGACGGUAAUGGGUAAAGAAGCCCCGGCCAACUCCGU
rnacentral:rRNA from 1 species